GACGAACGCUGGCGGCGUGCUUAACACAUGCAAGUCGAACGGAAAGGCCCUGCUUGCCGGGUACUCGAGUGGCGAACGGGUGAGUAACACGUGGGUGAUCUGCCCUGCACUUCGGGAUAAGCCUGGGAAACUGGGUCUAAUACCGGAUAGGAGCCAUUUUUAGUGUGAUGGUUGGAAAAUUUUUUCGGUGUAGGAUGAGCUCGCGGCCUAUCAGCUUGUUGGUGGGGUAAUGGCCUACCAAGGCGGCGACGGGUAGCCGGCCUGAGAGGGUGGACGGCCACAUUGGGACUGAGAUACGGCCCAGACUCCUACGGGAGGCAGCAGUGGGGAAUAUUGCACAAUGGGCGCAAGCCUGAUGCAGCGACGCCGCGUGGGGGAUGACGGCCUUCGGGUUGUAAACUCCUUUCGCUAGGGACGAAGCUUUUUGUGACGGUACCUAGAUAAGAAGCACCGGCUAACUACGUG
rnacentral:rRNA from 1 species